CCUGGCUCAGAAUCAACGCUGGCGGCGUGCCUAACACAUGCAAGUCGAACGCGAAAGCCCCGCAAGGGGCAAGUAGAGUGGCAAACAGGUGAGUAACACGUGGGUGACCUGCCUUCGAGCGGGGGAUAACGUCCCGAAAGGGACGCUAAUACCGCAUAACAUCCUGCCUUUGAAGAGGUGGAGAUCAAAGCUGGGGAUCGCAAGACCCGGCACUUGAAGAGGGGCCCGCGUCUGAUUAGCUAGUUGGUGGGGCAACGGCCUACCGAGGCAACGAUCAGUAUCCGGCCUGAGAGGGCGGACGGACACACUGGGACUGAGACACGGCCCAGACUCCUACGGGAGGCAGCAGUGGGGAAUUGUUCGCAAUGGGCGCAAGCCNAAANACGCAACGCCGCGUGGAGGAUGAAGAUUUUNAAAUCGGGGACUCCUGUCGAAUG
rnacentral:rRNA from 1 species